CACUUAUGAGACGAGCGUUAUCCGGAUUUACUGGGCGUAAAGCGCGUGCAGGCGGUUCAGCAAGUUGGAUGUGAAAGCUCCCGGCUUAACUGGGAGAGGUCGUUCAAAACUACUGGACUAGAGAGUGGUAGAGGGAGGUGGAAUUCCGGGUGUAGUGGUGAAAUGCGUAGAUAUCCGGAGGAACACCAGUGGCGAAAGCGGCCUCCUGGACCAUUUCUGACGCUCAGACGCGAAAGCUAGGGUAGCAAACGGGAUUAGAUAACCCCGUAGUCC
rnacentral:rRNA from 1 species